rnacentral:RNase_P_RNA from 1 species
GAAGCAAGCCAGACCGCCGUUGGUGCGAUCGUGGAAACACGGCACUGGAGGAAGGUCCGGACUGCAUAGAGCGGCGUAGCAGCUAACGGCUGCCCGGCGAAAGCCGAGGAUCAGAGCAACAGAGACGAGUCGGACCGAGUGCGGUUCGGGUGUUCUGUGCGAACGGGGCGCAAGCCCCAACCCGCGAUGCGGAAGCAUCGUGGGCGACGCGAAAGCGUCGAUGCGCAUAGCCACCCGGGCCGAACUACGCUCGGCCCGGGUGAAACGGGCAAUCUCUACGCGCAGCAACACCAAGUAGGCCAGCGUCGAUGCGGCUCGCAGAGCUGGCGGGUAGGUGGCACCGAGCCGGGCAGUGAUGCCCGGCCCAGAUGAAUGGCGGUCACGCGGCGAAUCGCAAGAGGAGUCGCGCACAGAAUCCGGCCUAUCGGCUUGCUUCACCU